rnacentral:tRNA from 2 species
GCGCCCGUAGCUCAGCUGGAUAGAGCACCAGACUACGAAUCUGGGGGUCAGGGGUUCGAAUCCCUUCGGGCGCACCA